CCUACGGGCGGCAGCAGUGGGGAAUAUUGCACAAUGGGGGAAACCCUGAUGCAGCAACGCCGCGUGAAGGAAGACGGUUUUCGGAUUGUAAACUUCUGUUCUUAGUGAAGAAGAAUGACGGUAGCUAAGGAGCAAGCCACGGCUAACUACGUGCCAGCAGCCGCGGUAAUACGUAGGUGGCAAGCGUUAUCCGGAUUUACUGGGUGUAAAGGGAGCGUAGACGGUGCGCCAAGUCUGGAGUGAAAUGCCGCAGCUUAACUGCGGAACUGCCUUGGAAACUGGCGAACUAGAGUGCGGGAGGGGUAAGCGGAAUUCCUAGGGUAGCGGUGAAAUGCGUAGAUAGUAGGAGGAACACCGGUGGCGAAGGCGGCUUACUGGACCGUAACUGACGUUGAGGCUCGAAAGCGUGGGGAGCAAACAGGAUGAGAUACCCUAGUAGUC
rnacentral:rRNA from 1 species